UCAAGUUCAAGUCUCGAUCAAGUUUUUCUGACCUAUGACCCUCUCCUGCACUCCUAAUUAUGAACAUAAAAAGAUUAACUUAAGAGAGGCGCAGAUAGAAAGUUUGCAGGUUGGAUUCCUGCCACGUGUGAAUCCUUCUUAAGUCUGUUUCCCUCCUCAGAGAGAGAGAGAGCAGAGGUGAGACACUCAUACAAAUCAGAAUGGAUGUAAAAGAGCAAUAUUGUACCAAAGCGAUGCCUUUAAGUGUAGAAAUAACCGCACGCCUCUAUCUGCAAGGUGAAGGAAAUGAGGGGAAUCCAGACAAAAUGGUUCAACCGGCUUUUUAAAGGCUAAAUCUGCCAACGGGGGAUUUUUUCUGAGCGUAUUGUCUUUAAAAGUGACAAUGCGAAUGCCAAAAUGUGAAGUCACAGCGAAGGAGAUAAUCAAAUGUAUAACCCCUCUGGUCUUUUGAGAUUCUGAAAUACAAGA